GACGAACGCUGGCGGCGUGCCUAAUACAUGCAAGUUGAGCGCUGAAGGUUGGUACUUGUACCAACUGGAUGAGCAGCGAACGGGUGAGUAACGCGUGGGGAAUCUGCCUUCGAGCGGGGGACAACAUUUGGAAACGAAUGCUAAUACCGCAUAAAAACUUUAAACACAAGUUUUAAGUUUGAAAGAUGCAAUUACAUCACUCAAAGAUGAUCCCGCGUUGUAUUAGCUAGUUGGUGAGGUAAAGGCUCACCAAGGCGAUGAUACAUAGCCGACCUGAGAGGGUGAUCGGCCGCAUUGGGACUGAGACACGGCCCAAACUCCUACGGGAGGCAGCAGUAGGGAAUCUUCGGCAAUAGACGAAAGUCUGACCGAGCAACGCCGCGUGAGUGAAGAAGGUUUUCGGAUCGUAAAACUCUGUUGGUAGAGAAGAACGUUGGUGAGAGUGGAAAGCUCAUCAAGUGACGGUAACUACCCAGAAAGGGACGGCUAACUACGUG
rnacentral:rRNA from 1 species